AGUGUUCCUUGUUUGUUAUAUUCUCCUUGACUUCAUGACUUGUUUUUAUUGUUUGAUAAUGUGUUAAGUGUUUCCAAUGAUUUCCAAAACAAAUUUUCUAGGCGAGCGUGUACUUUAUCGCGCUCGACCUAAAUGAAACGUGAAAUUUUCAACGAUUUAAUGAUUGAUACAUUAGUUGUGCAUGAUGUAAGCCUUUUGGCUGAACUGGGCCCUACCCUUCGUUACCGAUCUACUCGAGCCAGAAGCGGACUCGGUCAGGCGAUAUGGUGACCCUGGGUGUGAACGUUGGUAUACUCGAGCAUUACCUUGUAGGUUGGUGGAGCC
rnacentral:lncRNA from 1 species